UCGAUCGGCCCGGCCAGGGGCGCGGUGGCGUUCGACGCGCGGGCAAGGCAGCGGCUGGGCUGGCUCCCUCUGCCUGGGGCCGCGUUUCCUGGAAGAAAAUGGGAAGCUGUGGUGAGGUGCCACGCACGCAGUCGAGCUUCAGGCUGAGGGGCACACGCUGCUUUCUUGCUCUCCUCUGCUUCUGCUUGAGGGCCAAGGGAGACAUUGCUACUCCAGUUCUGCAGUUCUGAGAGCGGCACUGGCCGCUUGUGAGUUGUGACGAGGACCGGAAUCAAGUGCAGGUGCUUGACAAACUCAGGCUCUCACCAGAGGAUUUAGUAUUUGUCAACAGGUGCUGGUGCUCCAAUGCUGUACCGUAGAGUACUGGGAGCAUCAGUCAAGCAGUUUUUUUCUCUGUUUCUUUUUAAGUUUACAAGAUGGGAAAGGGCCGGGGGGAGGAAGAAUGUGUACUCUGUUAAAUGGUUUUUGAUGUAUUAUUACCAUGUACCUGUUCCUGGGCUAAAUUAGGCUUGAACAGGAGAAGAAUGAGUAGUAUGCAGAGACUGAUCGGCCAGUAAAACUGCAGAAGAUCUGAAAGGUUCAGGAACUAAUCUACUGUUAGUCCCAAAGAAGAUAGUCUGUUCGGUGAUGAUCAUGUACGUAGUCGGGCGACAUUGGCUGAAUGAUCGUUAUGACAACUUCAAAGAUGUUGUUUUCC